UACGUAGGUGGCAAGCGUUGUCCGGAAUUAUUGGGCGUAAAGCGCGCGCAGGUGGUUUCUUAAGUCUGAUGUGAAAGCCCUCGGCUCAACCGGGGAAGUGCACUCGAAACUGCAUGACUAGAGUCUCGGAGAGGAUAGUGGAAUUCUCGGUGUAGAGGUGAAAUUCGUAGAUAUCGAGAGGAACACCGGUGGCGAAGGCGGCUAUCUGGACGAUGACUGACGCUGAGACGCGAAAGCGUGGGGAGCAAACAGG
rnacentral:rRNA from 1 species